CACGUAGGGCGCAAGCGUUGUCCGGAAUUAUUGGGCGUAAAGAGCUCGUAGGCGGUCUGUUGCGUCCGCUGUGAAAACUCGGGGCUUAACCCCGAGCCUGCAGUGGAUACGGGCAGGCUAGAGUUCGGUGGGGGAGACUGGAAUUCCUGGUGUAGCGGUGAAAUGCGCAGAUAUCAGGAGGAACACCGGUGGCGAAGGCGGGUCUCUGGGCCGAUACUGACGCUGAGGAGCGAAAGCGUGGGGAGCGAACAGG
rnacentral:rRNA from 1 species